AGGUUUUCUAUUUUCUCCGCCGAUCCCUUCUUCCCCAAAACGCGCCGACCUCUCUUCUUCCUCUUCAUCGUCGUCCACUGCCCGACGUCGCCGGCUGAAGCCUCAUCAAGCGGUGCCUCGCUCCGGUCAACAUUGAGCUAUCAUGGUCCUCUCCUGAUCUCCAUUGGUGCUGCCACCUCUUUUCCUCUCUUCCGAUCUCAACGUCGUGCCCUAGAUAAGCUGACGCCUCUCCUCUCUCGCGAUCCAUCGCCCCAGCCGACAAUUUCCUCCCCUCCUCUCGAGUUUCCGGACGCCGCCGGCCUCCUCCUCAUGCGAGCGAGCCACAGCCACCGGUCUUCCAUUCUCUCUCGAGUCACAGCCGCGGCCUCACCUCACACGAGCACCCCAGCGCCGCCGCCCGAUGCCCUAGUCGUCGAUCCACAACCAACCGGGUGUGCUGGUAUCUACUGGAGGUCGCCCAUUGUGUCGGAUCUGCGCUUGACAUCGCCACUGCUUUCCAAUGCCCUAGUGUGGUCGCCGAUUUCCUCUGUCUUAGAUCGACACCGAAGUGGUCGGAAAGGGAGCUAUAGAUCUGGAUUUGUGCUUCGGCAAGGAUUGGACCACUGAUGGCUGGCUGUAGCUACCAGAUUUUCUUUCUUUCCGGCCAUCCUUCUACUUGCUAGGAUUGGUGUAGGACUGUCCUCUUGCUUUGACAUGAAGCUCAUGGCCAGAACUCCUCUAAACCGCAUUGUAUCAAUCUAACAACAUGGUUUUGGUCAGAAACCAGAGAUUGACUAGGGAUGGUAAAAGCUCCGCCCAACACUGCUCACCCUUUUCGGCAGCAAGCACAUCUUCGGCUAUGGAUCACCAGUUGAUCUUCUGAGGUUAGGACUUUGAUGUGGGAUGUUCAUCACGAUGUGGGAUUUAUUUUAUCACGAUCGACAGAUAAAGGCGGG